GAUCACUGGUGUAUGCUCUGUAUCUCCCCACCAGAUGGAUUGAAUCGGGUGAUCAACCUUGAGGAAGCAUUGGAUCAAUAUGUGGUGGACCUUCCUUGUUGCCGACCAUUGCCAGUUCUACUUCUUCAAGCUGUGCAGGCCUCGGGUGAAGAGGUAGCCUGUAGAUGGUUGGUGUCGCUCGGAGUAUCCUGUCUGCCGGGUCCUACGUCAC